rnacentral:rRNA from 1 species
GACGGAGGGUGCAAGCGUUGUUCGGAUUCACUGGGCGUAAAGGGUGCGUAGGCGGUCGGGUAAGUCUGACGUGAAAUCUUCAAGCUCAACUUGGAAACUGCGUCGGAUACUAUUCGGCUAGAGGAAUGGAGGGGAGACUGGAAUACUUGGUGUAGCAGUGAAAUGCGUAGAUAUCAAGUGGAACACCAGUGGCGAAGGCGAGUCUCUGGACAUUUCCUGACGCUGAGGCACGAAAGCCAGGGGAGCAAACGGG